UUUCCGUAGGUGAACCUGCGGAGGGAUCACUACAGGCUUGCAAAAGCUCUGAAACCACUGUUUAUCUACCUGAAUCUGCUUCGGCGGGCUGACCCAGGGCUGAGCCGUAGACCCAAGGCGCCCGCCAAAGACCCCUAAACUCUGUCCUCUUGAGAAUCUCUUAGUAUCAUAUUAAACAAAAAACAACUUUCAACAACGGAUCUCUUGGCUCUG
rnacentral:misc_RNA from 1 species